AUAAAGAUCAAAGGAGGGCCUGG
rnacentral:piRNA from 1 species